AACGAACGCUGGCGGCAUGCCUAACACAUGCAAGUCGAACGAGCCCUCCGGGUCUAGUGGCGCACGGGUGUGUAACGCGUGGGAACCUGCACUUAGGUUUGGACUAACUCCCCGAAAGGGGUGCUAAUACCGGAUCAUGUCUUCGGACCAAAGAUUUAUUGCCUGUGGAUGGGCGAUCGUUGAAUUAGAUUGUUGGUAGGGUAAAAGCUUACCAAGGCGACGAUCCAUAGCUGGUCUGAGAGAAUGAUCAGCCACACUGGGAGUGGGACACGGCCGGGACUCCUACGCGAUGGAGCAGUGGCGAAUAGUGGAAAGUGGGGGAAAGCCUGAUCCAGCUAUGCCGCGAAAGUGAUGAAAGCCGGAGGGAUGAAAAGCGCUAUUACCCAGGAUGAUAAUGACGGUACCGGGAGAAUAAGCUCCGGCUAACUCCGUG
rnacentral:rRNA from 1 species